CUUCUUGAACACUUUUUUUUUUUUUUUGUGAGACAAGGUCUCACUGUGUAGCUCUGGCUGAAUACUUUCUUGAUGGCCCCAAGCCUGCAGACUGGGCGAGUUCAGGGGCCCUGGGGAUCUGUGCAAUGAGGACACUAUGUCAACCAGUGAAUCGGGGUGCUGUAAACAAGAGAGGAGAGGAACAUAGCCCCUUUGCGUCUUGGCUGGUCCCAGCAGCUGCCAUAGCAGUGCCACCAGAGGGCAGUGUGGAGCUGCUCUGUGAGAGUUGGGGGCGUGGCCUGGAGCGGGUUCUGUUUCGGGUGCCCAGUCCUCAAUUAUCCCCCUCCCUGUGGUCCUGGGGCUUGCUGCCUUCGGGCUGUCAGGGUCUGCAGAAUAAGCAGUGAUGGCUUCCAGCGUGCGGAGGCUGGGGUUCUCUGAUCUGCAUCUAUCACCCCUGGGAGCACAACUCUAAAGAGGCUCAGAGGGGACCCUGACUUCAAGGAGAGAAUCCAGUAGGAAAGACUUCUUGGAAAGAGGCUUCCACUGUUGACUGUCGCCACCCAGUCAGUUCUGUAUUUACGGAUUUGUUACGGUGAUGACAGGACUGGAUCCUGCCACCACCCAACAACCAAGGUGGCUGAAGUGACAGGUCUAGACUCAGGUGUCCCAUUGGGCAGCGUCUUGUGCUGACGGCUUGAUUCCAUGGGAACCACUCAGGUGCCCUGGCGGCUCAGUUAGAGAGACUCUAGGCGGGGGAGGAAGUGUUUGGGAAAUGUGGGAAAUCCCCAGCCUAUUUCUUCCCCCAUUAUUCCUUGACUACACCCUGGUCAGAAGUGAUGAGAGAAGAGAACCCUUAGUUCUGGGAUAAAUGAACCACUUCCUUCACACUGGGCGCCAUGCUAAGCAUUCUAUACCCAUUGUUCACAUUCUCUCAAACACUCAGCAAAGCAAGGCUCUUAUCCCCAUGGCCACCAAUGAGUCUGAGGGCCAAGGUGGGCAGAUGGCUUCCUCAAAGGUGUAGAACCUCUCCCCAGUGCCUCCACUUUAUGGGUCUGGACUCCUGCAUUCUGCUCCUUCUCUGGAUACCGCCCUCAGGAAGACUUCCAGGAUUGACUGUGCCCAGUCUCGGCACCCUCCUCUCAGGAGCCCUUACAGUGGCAGGGGCCUGGGGCCUGGGAACUUGCUAUCCUCUGAGUUGCUUUCCAUACACUGCAUUCAAUUUGCUUAUACAGGGACCUGUUACGGUGUCAGUUAGCCAAGAGUGCGGCACACAUGGCCGGCUUUCUUUUUAAAGAUAGACUCCUCAUUCUUAAACAAGUCACAGUGUAGCUGGAGUCCCCACCAUCACUUUUAUGUCCGUAGCUCCAGAAGGCCUACGUAAGGCAAGUCACUGGUGUGGGAAACCCCAUUUCCCUCCCCACUGUGCGUGUCCUCCCCAUGUGAGCGAGGACAUACCUGUGGCUCCUUGCAGACAAUCAGCUGCUGCCUCCUAGGGGGACACCUCUUUCUCAGGAUGAGGUGGUGGCAACCACACUUCCAAGCAAAGUUAAAUGCACAAAGGAAAUCCACUUCACAUGUCCUGAUGAGGGAAGGAGGCACAUUUACUCACACACCGCCCGAAACUUAUAGGCUUCUGUAGAGUGGCUGUAUAUCGACUCAGUCCCCAACUAUAUACACACACGGGAAGAAUAAAUCUUAAUAAUGUGAGGCUGAAA